GAACUCUGUUGUCACAGAGAAAAGCAUCACAGUUAACCAUUAAACCUUCUGAAGAGAAGAGGAAAUCCAAACCGCCAUUUCCAGACUCCCGACUUCCUCCUGCAGCAGAACCAGACCACACCUCUGCAGCUGCGGGGCCAACGUCCCUUUGCCUCUCUGACACAAUGCCUUGAUGACACAAUGCCCUGAUGGAUGUGGAAGAGGUCACCUUAAUGGAGAGAAUACUUUUCAAAGACUGAGGGUGAAGCACCUCUCAGCACAAGCACAUAGGGGAUUCCAGGUCCGGAAACAGAUGCUCUGUCUUCUUUCUGCACCUGAAUCAUUUUAGCAAUGAAAGGAUCGAUCUGCAGCUUACUCCAGUAGGAGGGAAUGUGAGACGACUUAAGAGUUGUAGGUAAAUGCUCUAAUAGAUAUAAGAGUCAUGCUGACUUUUGUACCCCAAACUACUUACGGAUUAUCUAACUAGAUAAAAAU